UUUGUUGUUAUGUAAUGUUUGCUAUUGAUGUAUAUUAAAGCUGUUAAAGUAUGUUAGCAUGUUAAGGUAUACUUACAUGCAGCUUACGAAUGUUCUACGAAUGCAUUAUGAAGGCGCAUUGAAUGUGUCACGCCCCGCAUACCUUCUUCCUUGUGUUCUUCGUGGUGUGGCGCUAACGAGCCACACCUGUUCCUCGUUUAAACCUACCGCUCGUUUCAGCCGUGGAUGAUCCCAGGUGCCUCUCGUCUGCUCCUCAUCUGUGGUGCAUAUAGUGCCUCCUCGUCCUGAGCUUCCCAGUCCUGUCAUUGUAUUGUUGUAUGUGUCAUCCUGCUGCUUGCCUGAGCCACUCCAUUGGUUGCCCUGGGCCCUGUGUUUCCCCCCUGCUCUCCCAGCCUUGUUUUAACCCCUUGUGGUCUGGUCUCUUUGCCCUUUUAUGUAGCAUUUUGUUGGAUGUAACCCCUUCCAUUUUCCCAUAUGCUUGCCUUUGCCUUCAUCGUUCCUAACACGUGACAGAAUGUCUUCUGAAUGCAUUACGAAGGUGCGCCGAAUGUUCUAUGAAUGCAUUAUGAAGGUGAAAUUAAUGUAAAGUUUUUCAUUUGUUGCAGCCAAUGGGCAAGAACAAUUCAGCAGAAUAUCACACAAGAAAAAUAACUAAAAUAUAGAUUCUUAGCUUGCUUUUGGUUUAAAAAAAUGUCCAUAAAAAUCCUUCAAAGUACCUGCAGGAUUUCAGAUUCCAGCUUCUCUAUGAUAUCCAUAAUUUUCUUUAGUAAAGUGGAUGUAAACGUAAAGUGGCACGAUUUUCACAAAAAAAAAAAAAAAACCUUACCUUGCUAUACCUGCGUGGGACUUUACUUCAAAAAAGGUUUUCCCAUAGUUGUACAAAGGUGUGAAAGUGAAUGAAAAGACAACAUGAUUGUUAUAUUCUCAGUCAUUGAUUGACUAAAAUUAGUCAUGUGUAAAUAUUAUAGGACGAAUGUAAUUUAUUUUUUAAUCCUCUGUCUCCUCUUUGUAUUAAUGAAGGAGAAUACCUUUGACAUCUUCAUGCAGUUUAGACUUUCCGUGACUUAGUCAGUAACAUUGUUACUGGUCCUUAAUUCUCAUUUGCAUUAUUCCUUAGGUUUAAGGUCAAGGGUCAGGACAAAAAUAAUCUUCUUAUCCUGGGGCUUGCUGGGAAUUUACCUGGAUCUCUACAAGCUUCUAGUCCAUAACUGCAUGCAUAGGUGUCCCUGUGUGGGGUAAAAAGAUGCCUGUCUGUCACCUUUGUGACGUGUUCAGAGCUUCUGCAGAAAUGGCCACGGAUUCAGCGCCCAUCAGUUUUAGUGGCAUGGUGUCAUUCCUGAAAAUGUGCUUCUGUUGUGCUGUUGGUAUUUCCUCGUCCUUUUUAAUCCUUUAAUUAAGAUGAUCCUCUGAUGUAGCUUAUUUCUCCAUAUCUUUUUCGGGCAACGGAAGGUCAAAUCCAGCAUGAGAUUAUUCAUUACCCCCAUUGUAAGAUUAUGAAUCGUGUAAAACUACAGUUUGCUAUACUUCUAUGUUUAUUUUAUACUUCAGUCGCUGGGUUUAGAAAAGUUCAUCGUUUAACACUGCUGUGUCAUAAAGUCACUACGAAUAAAUUUGACUUUCUGCAUA